GAUGAACGCUGGCGGCGUGCCUAAUACAUGCAAGUCGAGCGAACAGACGAGGAGCUUGCUCCUCUGACGUUAGCGGCGGACGGGUGAGUAACACGUGGAUAACCUACCUAUAAGACUGGGAUAACUUCGGGAAACCGGAGCUAAUACCGGAUAAUAUAUUGAACCGCAUGGUUCAAUAGUGAAAGACGGUUUUGCUGUCACUUAUAGAUGGAUCCGCGCCGCAUUAGCUAGUUGGUAAGGUAACGGCUUACCAAGGCAACGAUGCGUAGCCGACCUGAGAGGGUGAUCGGCCACACUGGAACUGAGACACGGUCCAGACUCCUACGGGAGGCAGCAGUAGGGAAUCUUCCGCAAUGGGCGAAAGCCUGACGGAGCAACGCCGCGUGAGCGAUGAAGGUCUUCGGAUCGUAAAACUCUGUUAUUAGGGAAGAACAAAUGUGUAAGUAACUAUGCACGUCUUGACGGUACCUAAUCAGAAAGCCACGGCUAACUACGUG
rnacentral:rRNA from 1 species